GUUCUCCUGAGCAGUACAUACCCUGAAAGGGGAACAAUACAGAGACUAGCAUGGGCCCUGUGAAAGCAUGACACACAAAUCAGUGAAGCGGUCCAGAGUUUU